CAGGAGCACCUUGUCCACAGAGUAGACGGCCAGUGGCUUCUUGUCGCUGAGCGCGUUGUUGACGGUGACUUCGGAGACGCCGCUGGAGACGUUCACCUGGUUGUUGGCGGUGGCGGUGAUGUUGAGCGUGAAUGGCCCGUCCUGUCCGGACGCCUGGGUGCGGACGGGGUUGCUGGCGGUCUGGAAGGACUCCAUGGAGUAGAACUGCGGGAGGACGUGGCCCUGGACGAGCGCCACCUGCUGCUGCUGGGUGAGGCUGUUGAGCGUGCCUGGCUUGAGGUUGUUGAAGGCGUUGUCGGUCGGGGCGAAGACGGUGUAGCCGUUGCCGUUGAAGGAGUUGUUGAGCUGGCUGUUGAGCUGCGUGUCCUGCUGCGUCUCCUUCAUCAGCC
rnacentral:lncRNA from 1 species